GAUGAAGAACGCAGCGAAAUGCGAUACGUAGUGUGAAUUGCAGAAUUCAGUGAAUCAUCGAAUCUUUGAACGCACAUUGCGCCCGCCAGUAUUCUGGCGGGCAUGCCUGUUCGAGCGUCAUUUCAACCAUCAAGCCCCCGGCUUGUGUUGGGGACCUGCGGCUGCCGCAGGCCCUGAAAACCAGUGGCGGGCUCGCUAGUCACUCCGAGCGUAGUAAUACAUCUCGCUCAGGGCGUGCUGCGGGUUCCGGCCGUUAAAACACCUUAUUUACCCAAGGUUGACCUCGGAUCAGGUAGGAAGACCCGCUGAACUUAAGCAUAUCAAUAAGCGGAGGA
rnacentral:misc_RNA from 1 species